UCGGUUCACCACAGUUCCGGACGACAUCUCUGACGACGAGUGCUCUAUCGCAGUUGGCGAGUGACAUGAUCGGCCAUCUUUUCCGGGGUUUCCCCAACCUGAAUAAGGCAGUGUGGCAAAGGGAUAUCCCAGCGGACCUGAUAUUCCUGCAGCAGAAAUGUUUCACAACGUCGUCAAAAUUGGCCAAAUAUUGCGAUUGCAGCUGAGGUCAUGCUGGCAGCUUAAGUGACAUAUUCAGAUGUGAAGAAUCAAGAACAAAUUUAAUGACAGGGGAGUUUUGCAUCAGUGAUCGUCGUGAAGUGGAAGAUAAGACAAUUUAAGGAUAUGAACAUUUUCAUUUUCACUUGAACUAGUUGAACAAUAACCAUGAUGACAACUUUAUCAUUUGGGAAUUUUUGGUGGUGGGCUGGCCUAGUGGUUGUAGCGUUCACUCUUCAUACUGAAGACCCUGGUUUGAUUCCUGUCACAGAAUGUACAUUCCGCCUGGAAUCUCCUUCUCUGGGAACAGUGUCUCUAUCAACGCACGGCUGCAUUGAAAUGGCUUGUCCUCGACCAUGACCAUUGGGGUUUCCCUGUAAUGAGAUGAUCACAUUUCAAUCAAUCUUUAAACAUCUGCUCAGAUUGAUUCUUACAGGAAUAGUAUUUGUGUUACAUAGACUGGCGAAGAUUUUUAUCGUUUUCUAAAUAUCUUUCGAUUCAUAUAUAAUUGUGACAGGUGAAUUCACCAUUCAAUGGCGAUAAUGAUGUUUAAUUGUAUUAAGUUUAGUUAUGAGACAUUGCUGCUAUUGUUUGGAUUAAAUAUGCAGCAAGUAAUGAAAUGUGGUUAUUUGGGAGUAACCUCGCAGACUGUAUGCAUAUGUUAUUUGAUCGCACAUUUUCUAUACUUACUCAUCAAACCCAAUAGCGUCAAUGUAUCCAGUGACCGUUUCAGUCGGUUGUGGAACAGCCUACAAAGAACAUGGUGUAUAUUUUCAAAUGAUGUUUUUAAUUUCCUUAUAUACGUUAUAUCUGAAUAAUAGUAUCGAGUUUUAUUAUCAUUGUUAGGAUAAAAUAGAUUUACAUGGUUUUUUACAAUGUGUCAUGAGUGGUUGAGUCUUAAAGGUCUCAAAUGCCGGAUAUUAAUUAACUCACAACGAUCUUGGUAUCCAGUGUAGAAUUCAGGUCCCUCUUCCCCUUGUACUCUCUAAGGGUGCAACAUUCCACUGAUAGGACGUCAUUGAUUUUCACUUCUGUUUUAGACAAGUCCCCCCAUAACUUCACUUGG